GCAAGCCCCUGGACGACGUUGAUUGAAUUUAUUUUGAAAGCAAAACAACAACACUAUUUUAUCGUUUUUUUUCGACAAACGGAUUACAGACACAUAAAUCGUUAUUGAUGCUGUCGCAGUUUAGCGAAGUCUUGAAAGAUGAAAUUUCAAGUUUUAAAAAGAAAACAAGCCAUGAACCAGCCCAGGACUCAACCAUCUUGGAGCAGGGCCUCACUUUGAGAGAGCCACCCAUGCCUGGUUCCACAGGUCCCUUUCCUGUUCCUAUGGAGCUUGUCCUGUUAAUGAGCAGCCCUCUGAUCAAUGUGGACCAGGAACACAGCUUUUCAGCCUCUCAGACAGACAGACAGAAGCCGUUUCAAGACAGGGUUUUAACAAUUUAGAGUGCAUUGAAAAUGACAGUGCCUUCACUGAUAGUGACAAUGUAAAACUCCAUGUGUCUGGGUUACCCCCACCGAAUUA